rnacentral:lncRNA from 1 species
CCAGCUCUCCAAAUCAAAAAGCAAGCCAGUGUAUACAGGGCCCUUUACUUUUGUCUCCACCCACUUCUCCCUGUUCCUCUCUGCUGUCUAUGGCAGCCAGGCCAAAAUACUUGCAAUGUCCUGAGGAGACUAUGCUCUUUACCCUUGGUUGGCCUCAUCCUCUCUUUUAAAUUCCUGCUCAGCUUUCAAGACUUGGCGCAGUAUUUUUUGAAACCACUCUCUGUUCAUUUUGAGUGACUUCUUCCUUGCUGCUAAAAUACCUUGAUAUUCUUAUCUCGCAAUCAAUUCACAUUGUAAUAUUUGCUUUUCUUGUCCCUUCCUCAGAAGAUCAAAAACUUCAUGAUAGCAGGAAUGCCUUUCCUCUUUGUAGUUUCAGCUCCUAGCAGAAUGGUCGGCAUGAAAUAUGUUCUAUGCACAUCUGUUGAUUGGAGGGGACAUUAAUAAAGGCCAAGACUGUUAAGACGGCUAUUUUAUAGCAGUUUUACAUGAUGUUUAGCAAGAUGUUUGGAAGAGUCCAUCACUACCCAUAACAACUCAAAGCUAUGUCCUCCUGGUUUCGGGAUCAGUUUUGCUUUGUCACACAAAGGACAAUACCUUUUUAUUACGAUCAGUUCGUUAGAUUUUAUUGAUUUUUUUGCUCUAGUCACUUUCAAAAACAAAGUAGGUCAUUCUAACAGGAUGCCACAGAGAUUGGCUAUCUUCUUUCAGGGAAACGGGCACAGAGAUUAGCCCAUUCACAGUUGCUUUGAUAGAGAAACUGCCCACCAAAAGCAACAGGUACAUGAAGAGUCUCAGCAGACACCCAGCCCUGGGCCCAGUGGCAUGAAGUUUAUUUCAGAUAUAUAUGCCCACCAACAGUUCAUUAAUAUUGUAAAAAGGGGCAGCAGGGGAUACUGCUUGGGAACAGAAACUCUAGUAUCAUACAGACUUAUAUUUGAAUCCUGGCUGACAAUUACUAGCUAAGUGACUUCAAGUAAGUUAAUUUAUCACUGUUAAGUGUAUUUCAUUGCUUUAGAACAGAGAUAAAAGUACCUACCUUAGUGUUGUUGAGGAUUAAUGAGAUGCUCUUUACAAAUAGUACAUAAUACUCAGUAACAGUCACCACUAUUAGCAGGAGAACAAGCUCUAGAGAGGGUUCUAGUGGUUUCAAGGAAAGUAUAUCUAAGGACCUCAUGAAUAUUCUGCUUUGGAGAAGCCACCCUUUUCCCCAAGAGGUUGCUGAGGAAGCCUGCCAGUGAGGGCUGAGUAUCUGUUGAAUCAGUGAACAGGGCAAGGGCUAUUGUCAUUCCUAUCAGCUAUUUGGCAUCUAAACUGCCCUCCUGUGUUUUGAGGAAUUCAUACAUCCCCAAUGGAAGUUAAACAUUCUCACUUUCUGCAAUUAGGACUUAGGCACCUGACUGGUAAUCACAUCUACCUAUCCCAGAUUUUAAAUAAGAAAUUACUGACAUAAAGAAGCCAGGAACACAGAGAAUCCCUUCUGGUGAGGGUGGAACCCCUAGAUACAGUUCCAGAGGCAGCACGCAGUGAUGGUGAAGUGGAAAAUCAAGUUCCACUUUAUUAUUAGGAAUAGUGCCUGAGAUCCCAAUAAAAUGUUCUCUGAUAAAGUAAGCUCCAGCAUGGUACCCGAGGUCAAAAAGGAAAGGUGAGGAAAUGGGUCUGUCUCAUCCCCUAAACCCAAACUAAAAUCUCACCAACAGCAGCAAGUGAAAAAACUGAAGGGGAGAGCACGAGAUGUGGUGAGCCUCCACACCAGUCUAAGACUGUGGAAAGCAGAACGCAGAAAAGGAGCCAUAGUUCAGCCUGACUUUUCAUGAAAAGCGACUAGUAAAUAAAUAGGGGUGAUCAAUGGUAGAAUCUGACUAAUGUGGUUAGCAAUUCUUCCUACUUCGGAGGGCUUGAAGAGGGAACAAAAGUCAGGAAAUGAACAGGCACAUGGAGUUAGCCUUUCUAGUUUACAGUAACUAUUAAUGAAUGUAAGUGCUUCACGCCAGUCUGGGCUUUGAGCCAGUGCAUUAAGGUGGUACAGCCAAGGAUCUGAAAGGCACAGGAGUAUUAAUGAAGUAAUGGAGGUGAGGGCACAGUCAGACGUCCCGUCUGUGUUGGGCUGAACUACUGACCAAUCUGCCUACCUGUGAAGACUAAGAAAGCAUAGAAGUAGAAGAGUAUCAGAACAGGAUCAGAAAAAGGAAAAAUUCCAUAAAGAAGUGGUUAUAUGGUAUCGAGACAUAAAGAUCAAUUUAAGGACUAAAUUUUGGUAAUUAGAAGUCACUGGUGAACCCAGUGAGGACAAUUUUAAUGGUGGUGAGGGUAGUGGCCAGAUUAGGCAUGUUGGCUCCCAGCCCGUUCUGGUGUAACUGGCCUGUGGUUCAGGCAGAGGAAUCAGGGUUUUUAAAAAUCUCCUCUGAUGAUCCCCAUGAGCAGCCAGGGUUAAAGAGUUAAAAACUACUGCUUCAGUAGAUUGAGAAUUAAUGGAUAGAAGGUUCAAGAAAGAACAGUACUUUGGUGCUCAGAGGGUAGAGGAAAGGAAUUUUUGUUUGAAAAGGGAGUCUUUGAACAUGUUUAAAUGUAAGGCCCUACGUGUCAGGAGUGAGAAGCUAUACUGAGCAAGGUAACUGAUCAAGAGAGAGCACAGGAGAAGAGAUGGUUAGGGGCAGGCAGGCAUUUCCAAGACGAAGAGAUGAGAAAGGGCGUGCGUGGGGCUUUCCCGUCUAAGGCUCUAUUACCUGCUAGGGUAGGGGGAGAUAGCUGCUGGCACGGAGAAGUGGAGAUUCAAAGGCCAGUUUGCAAUAGCUGCUGACGACAGGUGGAGGUUAAGUGAGAUAAAUAUUUAGAGCAAUUCAAAUUGUCACCAUGAUUUUGGGGUGGCAGAUGUCUCUUGGAGAAAUACAUGGCCCACUGGGAGGAGCAAGAAUCUAUACAUGAGACAAGUUACCAAGGCUGUUUGUAAGUUCCCUAUUAUCUUCUUCCCUUUUUCAAUUAAAAACAUUUGAAUGGGGGAGUCUGCAAAAGUCAGAAUUCACUUCUAGGGAAAGAAAACAUUAAUUUUCAUAACUCACACAGUAAAGUUUUUAUACUCCCACACCUUGAUAAUCGCUAGUAACACUGACCUUCUUAGCCAGAGGUACUUUGAACUUUUUUUUUUUUUUAAUACAGAAAAGAAAAAAUUAUAUGGUGUUUUAGAAGAUUACAGAAAUAGAAGAGCUAAACAGCCUAUAAAUGUGCAUUAAUCAUGUUUUUUUAUUUUCUAAUAU